rnacentral:rRNA from 1 species
AACGCUGGCGGCAGGCCUAACACAUGCAAGUCGAACGGUAGCACAGGAGAGCUUGCUCUCUGGGUGGCGAGUGGCGGACGGGUGAGUAAUGCAUGGGGAGCUGCCCAAUCGAGGGGGAUACCAGCUGGAAACGGCUGCUAAUACCGCAUACGCCCUGAGGGGGAAACGGUGGGGACCUUCGGGCCUACCGCGAUUGGAUGCACCCAUGUGGGAUUAGCUAGUUGGUGAGGUAACGGCUCACCAAGGCGACGAUCUCUAGCUGGUCUGAGAGGAUGACCAGCCACACUGGAACUGAGACACGGUCCAGACUCCUACGGGAGGCAGCAGUGGGGAAUAUUGCACAAUGGGGGAAACCCUGAUGCAGCCAUGCCCGCGUGUGUGAAGAAGGCCUUCGGGUUGUAAAGCACUUUCAGUGGGGAGGAAGGGAUGAUGUCUAAUACGCAUUGUCAUUGACGUUACCCACAGAAGAAGCACCGGCUAACUCCGUG